rnacentral:rRNA from 1 species
CCAAUAGCGUAUAUUAAAGUUGUUGCAGUUAAAAAGCUCGUAGUUGAAUUUCAGGCCUGGCUGGACGGUCCGCCCUUCGGGUGAGUACUGUCUGUGGUCGGGUCCUACCUUCUGGCGAAGCGUCAUGGCCUUAACCGGCCGUGGCGGGGAACCAGGACUUUUACUGUGAAAAAAUUAGAGUGUUCAAACCAGGCAAUCGCCUGGAUCCAUUAGCAUGGAAUAAUGUGAUAGGACAAUGGUUUUAUUUGUUGGUUUCUAGGACCGUUGUAAUGAUUAAUAGGGAUAGUUGGGGGCAUUAGUAUUCAAUUGUCAGAGGUGAAAUUCUUGGAUUUAUUGAAGACUAACUACUGCGAAAGCAUUUGCCAAGGAUGUUUUCAUUAAUCAAGAACGAAAGUUAGGGGAUCGAAGACGAUCAGAUACCGUCGUAGUCUUAACCAUAAACUAUGCCGACUAGGGAUCGGACGAUGUUAAUUUUUUAAUGACUCGUUCGGCGCCUUACG